rnacentral:rRNA from 1 species
GGACGAACGCUGGCGGCGUGCUUAUCACAUGCAAGUCGAACGGAAAGGCCCUGCUUUUGUGGGGUGCUCGAGUGGCGAACGGGUGAGUAACACGUGAGUAACCUGCCCUUGACUUUGGGAUAACUUCAGGAAACUGGGGCUAAUACCGGAUAGGAGCUCCUGCUGCAUGGUGGGGGUUGGAAAGUUUCGGCGGUUGGGGAUGGACUCGCGGCUUAUCAGCUUGUUGGUGGGGUAGUGGCUUACCAAGGCUUUGACGGGUAGCCGGCCUGAGAGGGUGACCGGCCACAUUGGGACUGAGAUACGGCCCAGACUCCUACGGGAGGCAGCAGUGGGGAAUAUUGCACAAUGGGCGGAAGCCUGAUGCAGCAACGCCGCGUGCGGGAUGACGGCCUUCGGGUUGUAAACCGCUUUCGCCUGUGACGAAGCGUGAGUGACGGUAAUGGGUAAAGAAGCACCGGCUAACUACGUG